GGUGCGUCAAUCAUAGGGAAAAGCUAUUCGGAUUGGAUCGUUGCCUAGACUCCGGAGAUAUAUGCCAAACUUUGUCGCGGACAUGAAUUGUGGGAAUGUAGUCUCUGAUCGCCUUUGAAUGCGGAAACAGGCAAGUUGAUGGAAUUUAGUGAACUACAACUCCCAGAAUCCCAGGCGCGCCCCAGUCUUGAUAGUAAACAAGAGUCAUUGGGACACGUGUAUCAGCUCGUUUGUUUUGGUAUCUGAAGAAAAAAGGAGGGGGCGAGGAAGGGAGGAUUUUGAUUCUAGGUCCUUUCUCGCUUUCUUCAGGGCCUCUUUACAACACUUGGAGAAACUGAGGCCUUUGACACAAAAACUUUUGCUGCCCAGAUAAAGUUCUACUUUUGUUGCCCAGAUAAAGUUCCAUGCUGGCCAGGUAACAAGAGAUCCAGAGGCUGUUUAUAUACUAAGAUGAAUUCACAAAAGAAAUCCUCUCAGGAAGACGCCAAGCAUCUCUGAGAAAGGGGUCCCAUUGAUGGGACUGAACUUCCUGUAACAUAUCCCAGUCAAAAAGCAGCUUUUUCAACUGCAGUUUCCUUCGUGGUGGGCUCCAUUCUCAGGACAGAGAGGGCAUACUCAAACUUCAGUUUUUUCUUGCUGCUACACUCGGUUCUAGUUCUGAGUUUCUAUGAUGAUCAGUGGAUUUUUUUCUAUCUUCACUUUGGUCUCUGGUUAUAAUAGAUGCGAGCAGUUUUUAUAUAUGAAUUAUUGAAAUAUGCAGGAUUUAAAAAUACCGUAAUGGUUCUAAAUUUGUUCUUUUUUUCAAUUUGUUAUUACUAACCACUACCAACAAAAGAUAUUUAAAUAUGUAAAAAACUCAUGUGUAAAGUCACAAACUCCAUAUUGUUAACAAUUUGUUUAAAAUAUGUAAAUUAUAUGUGUUCCUAUAAGAGUGAAAACUAUGAAACUGGCCUUUAAAUUAAUUUGUUAAAUCAAAAGCAGUAGGGGGGAAAAGAUGGAAAAAUAGGAGAAAGAUAUAUAGUUGACCUUCCUUAUUGCUUCAUUUAGCUGGCUAUUCUACAGUCACCAUGAGGACCCCCUAACCAAAUUCAUAGGGAAGUCCAGUCAGCUCAAAAACACAGAAGCAAAGAGGGCAAAAUCCGCUCCUGCCUCAGUUUAUCAAACCUUGUCUCUGCCCACUAACUCUCUCCCAUCAAGUCUCAGUAGCUAACUAUGGCUUUCUAUUUUGCAGGAGAUAUUGCUUCAAGGGGCAUUGCAGGAGAUAUUGCCCUGCCCUCACUGGCCAAACUAUCUUGACUCCAUUGCUGCCCCUUUCCAGCUGCCAUUCUAUCCUUGUGACCCAAUUUACCCAAUGAUUUCCCUCUCAGUCCUCUCUUUCCAGCUGAGUUCAAACUCCUGCCAGGUACACCUAGUCAAAAGGGAAGGGUAAAUUUCCUUUGCAAAGUGCCAGUAUAAACAUCCUCUGCUUUUUAAAAUUCCCUUUGGAUUGUGUAUAUUAUUGUACUUUUCUCUUUUCAUCUCUUCAUGUAUUUCCCUCAUUUUCUUUAUAUUUCCAAUAUGUGUCAUUUCUAAUUACAUAAUACACUCCAUUACAUUAAAAUACCACAACCUAUUCAUCCAUUUCUGCCAAUCAUUGUAUUUGGGUUGAAAUAAAUUGUCAUUACAAAUAAAACUUCCAUGAAUAUUUUCAUGCAUACACAGCUUUUUUAUCCUCUUAAUAAUGUCUUGAGGGCCAAAUCCUAGUAAUGGAGUCCUUAGAGCUCUUUUGUAUAUUUUCAUCUUGUUUUCUAAAAAAUAAUAGUUGCUCUAGCAAAAUCAGGCCUGUUUUUCCAUGUUCCUAUUUACUUUGAUCUAUUUAACUUUGUGUUCACAGUUAAUAUAUAUUCCCAGGGUCAUAUUUAACAAGAUUGGUCCUUAGACAGCAGAUACAACAUGUUGCCAGGAUUUUACAAGUCUUUCCAGCUUGGUCAUACCCAGUGGAACUUUUGUUCCAAUGCCAUCACCUCUCAGGAAUGCAGGAUUAUCUCCAUAAUAAAAUGAAUGGCGUAGAACAGUUUUGCAGAAUAUUUAUGCUCUCUAAGCCAUUGUUCCACCAGAAACCAUAUUUGGAUUAUGUGUAUGCUCAGGCUUAGAUCUGCUAUGAGCCUCAAAGAUGUGGGGGGGCUCUCUAGAUACCUAUCAUAUUUAGUUUAUCUAAAGUUCUAUUUCUUCUCCUUUACUUAAUUUUUUUUUUUGUUACAUUCAUCUAGUUCUGAGAGGGGAAAAAUUAAAAUCUACUGCUAUUCUCUAUUUCUAUCUGUACUUCAUUUAGUUUUUCCUUUAAAAAUCUGGAUACUAUAAAACUCUUGGUGAAUACAAAUCCAAAAUAAUAUAGUUAUUCUGUUCAUCCCUUCCAAUUAUAUCCAUUUUAGUCCCAACUGUCAGAGAUCAUGACUACUGCCCCUGCCUUCCCUGGAUCAGUUGAGGUCUAGUAUAUCCUACUGUAGCCCCUCACCUUCACUGUAGGUGUGGCAAUGACAAAAGAGUCAUAGGUUUAUUAGGAAGAGAGGAGGAUUUAAGGGGAAAGAAAAUGGGUUUAGUUUUGGACAUGUUGAGUUUGAUAUCUAUGGAUUAUCUAAUUCUAGAUAUUUAAUAGGCAGCUGGAGACCUGGCUUAGGGAUGGGUAAGUAGAUUUGAGUAUCAUAAGCAGUGAUAAUAUGGGGUUAAUGAGAUCACCAAAUGAAAUAGAAUAGAGGGAAAAGAAAAGAGGCUCCAGGGCAGAGCCCUGGGCAUGGACUGGAUGAAGAUCCAGUAAAGCAAACUGAAGGAUGUGAGCAACAAAAUGAUAGACUUGUUUCCAUGGUCCCUGACCCCCAGAAUUAAAAGUAAAGUUAAAAAAAAAAACCUGAACCCCAGAGACUGAUGCUCAUUGACCCUGAACCCACUCAGCACCCCUCCCUCACUCUCCAUGCCAUGAGCAGGGAAGCUGCACUUAGUCACCCCAAGGAGCAACACCUUACAUUAAAACUACACUCCAGUUCCCUCUCCCUUGAGUUUACUUAGCUCUUGCCUGCCAGCUCAGCCAUGGUCCUUCAGGAACAAAAAUCUGGGGCCUCAUCCUAGUACCCAAACUUAAAAGCUCUGAGCUGUCAGGCCAGGGAAAGCAGGUUUUGAAUGUCCUAUUUUAGCAGGCUCUGAGGGCCAGAGAAAUGAGGAACAGAGGGAGUGAGAUCACCAAGAUAGAAUACUGGGCACAUGAGUUGUGCAGUACUCCAUUAUGCCUAAGGGAAGAGCACCACACCCAACAGACCACCCCAAAAUCCUUUGGGGCAGAGACCUAAACUGGAAUUUUAAAUUGCCCUUUGGGGAAGUAGGCUGAGACUCUUUGAAAUCCAGCCCCCAAGAACACCAAAAUCAGAGAGGAGGAACUCAGAAGUGUAAGUAAAAAGGGAAGACAAAGUACUGAAGAUUCCAGGAAGAAAAAAAAUUACAGACCUCGAGCAUAAAACAAUAGAAAAACAGUAACAGGACCUCCAGUUCUAGCAAAGAAAGUCAGGCACCUAUGAAUGCUACAAAAUGAAGGAAAAUAAUCCAACAUCUAAUGAAAAGACCAGAUGGAAUAUGAGCAGAACAUGGAAUCUCAAUACCAUUCCUGAAUAGUUUAAAAGAUGAAAAUUGAGAGGAAAAUGUCUUACAUAGCAAAAAAUGAUCUGAAUAGAAAAACUUCAAUCUGCAAAGGCAAACCUUACCAAAGAAAGGAGAGAAUAGAUUGGGAAUGCAAAAGCCCCAAAGUAAAAGAUGACCUGUGUGUGGAGUGAGAAAUUAGUGUGUUAUACUCAAGUUAUUAAUUGUAAUAUCUAAAGUUGGUGUGUCCCCCCCUCCCCCCCCCAUCCUUAUAAAAGCUUUAAAGCUUUUAUAGUCUGUCUGGGAAUUGCCCUAGGCAGGAGGCCCAGGCUGAUGGCCUCAAAUCCUGAAGUACUCCUGAUCAGAUCCUAAUACCAAUCCUGAGUACCCUUUUGUUUUAGAAGACUCUCUUAUUGUAUCUUUGUAUAUGGAUUAUAGAAGCUUCUUCCAGGAGGUCAAGCCCUAAGGCUUGACUAAUCAUCUCAUCAGCCCCACCUAGAUAAGAGUAUUUGUCUCCAGCUUCUUGAACAUAAAUAUUGAUUUGCUUGGAUGUAUCCAUUGUGAAGCUAUUCUCUAAUUUCUGGAAGAUGUUAAUUAGCUUGAAUGUGUUCAUUGUAAAACCACUGUAAAGCUAUUCAACAUUCUAUCUCCAACUGUUGUAAACAUGUUAAGAUCCUUUCUGGGAGACUUGGUUGAAUCGGGAUUCUAUAAGUAAGGGAUUUUUCUGUGAAUUUUUGGGCAUUUGUCUUGGGUCCAUGACUUGCUAUGGUGCCCCUCCCAUCUCUCAAUAAAGCAUUAUAUUUUAAAUGAUCAAUUUCCAUGGUCAUAUAUUUUUUCAUAAGUGAUAAAAGAGGGUGAACUUUGAAAUUUCUAAGAUUCCCUCAAUUUCCACUCCAUACACCUAGAAGAAGAGGAAAAAGCAAGAACAUUAAAGGAAAACAUGUGCAGUAUACAAAAAACAUGGAUCUCAAAGACAGGAUUCAUAGAAACAAAAAAUUUUAACACCAUAAUAAAGAAAAUGACAAAAAUAGAACUGACCAGAACUUCUGAAUAUAGCAAAUGAAACUGCAAUGGAAAGAAUUCAGAUACUCUACAGAAAAAAAAUGCAAGACACCUUGUGACUAAAUUUAACAACUGGAUUCAGAAGUGCGUUUUGUAAGUCAUAAGGAAAAGGACCUUGAAAUACAAAAGAAAAGACAUUAAAAUAGUACAAGACUAUUCCAUUAGGAGGAGGAGGGAAUGGAGUAAUGUAUUCCAAAGAACUUUAGAGCUUAGAUAUAGCCCAGGGUGACUUCUCUUGCAAAUCUGAGUAACAUUACAGUAUAAAAUAUGGACAUUGUGACUGUGAAAAUGUGGGUUUCAAGACUUUGAAUUGCCAAAACUGUAAAGAUAAUUUUAGUGUCUUGAUUUUAUAUCAAAAAUAAAUGGUCGCCAUGGGAAAUAUUCUCAAAUAUGAAAUACUCAAGUCAGCUGGGUUUUAUGGAGAUUUUAAUUAAUACAAAUGAAGGAAUUAAAGGAAGGGAGAGAGACAGAGUAAGAGGAGAUAGUAGGAAAAGGCUUAGGGCCUAGGUCUCUUUAAGAGAGAAAACUAAGUCGGUCUUUUAUCCACUCACCACAAGAUUUUUUCCCAAGCAAAACUCCAAUUCUUCACUGAAAUCCUCAACUCCUGAACUGAGUUCAGAGAGAGCUCUAACUCCUGACCUCCAAUUCAGCUUCCAAAGCUGGAUUAACUUCAGAGGCCUCACGUUCCUUCCUUUUAAAGAAAAUUUUCUCGUGUCACCUCUCCUAAAUUUUCACAUCUACCAAUCACAGUAGACGCUUUUCCAGGACUGCCCAUUCUUAGUCCUCACCACUCUUUAGUUCUCACCUUCUCUGGGGAGAUUAUAUCUUCUGAGUACUUCACACCUCUUUUGCUAAACUUGCCCUUUGUAAGUUGCUUGACCUUUUAGUAAUUAAUUUGACUUUCACAGGUACUUAGCACCCUUUUGUAUUAGAUCUAAAAAUAGACCUAACUUAAAGGCUUUUGGCCUCACUAUAAGUAUGAGUUAGGGUCUUUUUCAUUGUUCCAUCAGGAGUUUACAACUUUAUCUUCCCCUAAAGUAUGCCUAAGUAUGGGUGGAGAAAUGUAAAAUUCCCAAUACAUUCCUGAUCAAGUAUCUCCAUUGUUUAAAAUGGGAAAUAGCCUUAACCAAAUGUUCCAAGGUAGAGUCUGAGAAUUUUUAAGAUUCUCAACAUUCAAUAAAGAAGAGUUUGAAACUAUUUUUUGAAGAAAAAAAAACUGCAGGGAUUAUUUGCAUCUUGAACCCUCCCCCUCCCCCCAUCACCAUCACCACACACAACAGAA